UUAAACAAUAUAACCCCAACUGGACCCCUGUAAUCAGCAUCUAUCACACCUGCACCCACAUCAAUGGAAUGCUUCCAUGCUAGUCCAGAUCUCGGCGCAAUACGAGCAUAUGUUCCUUCAGGUAUGACAAUGCUCAGAUCAGUUGGGAUAAGAGCCUUUCCUCUAGCAGGGACCUUAGUCUCUGUUGCACUGGAGAGAUCAUAGCCCGCAGAUAGAGGAGAAGCUCUGGAGGGCAAAAUAGCUUUUUCAGAGAGCUUUUUAACCCCAAAUAGAGUGAUUGGAGUUUCAGAGUCCUGUUGAAGCUUGGGAAUCUUGGGAACCGGCUCUUUGAUUUCAGGACUGUUGUUUUGAACUUCUGCUUGAGCCAUUCUGGAGCGUCGAACAAUUGGAAGGCAGCGAGAUGCGAUUAUGGGAAGAAAGGACUUAGAGGGUGUGAGAAGUGCUGGAUUUGAGGGGUUAAAUAAAGAAGGAACCGCCCAAGAUUUUCCAAAUAAUGGCGCGAAGGGUUCCCUCCAUAGCAUUUUGGGACAUCGUACAUUCAUAUUCAAUAAGAAGAUUACGGAGGUAGUGAAGAUAGGAAGCAUGUAUAACUUUUGGUCUGCUCUAUGGAGCUUGUUAACGCAAACCUAGGGAUACCGUUUUAAUCUACCCACCCACUUUUUUCAUUUAUCUCCCGCCAAAAAAACUCUCCCUCCUUAUUUUUUUUUUUCAUUUAUCUCCC
rnacentral:misc_RNA from 1 species